UACGUAGGGAGCAAGCGUUGUCCGGAAUCAUUGGGCGUAAAGCGCGCGUAGGCGGCCCCGUAAGUCCGCUGUGAAAGUCAAAGGCUCAACCUUUGAAAGCCGGUGGAUACUGUGGGGCUAGAGUCCGGAAGAGGCGAGUGGAAUUCCUGGUGUAGCGGUGGAAUGCGCAGAUAUCAGGAGGAACACCAAUAGCGAAGGCAGCUCGCUGGGACGGUACUGACGCUAAGGCGCGAAAGCUAGGGGAGCGAACGGG
rnacentral:rRNA from 1 species